UGGUUCAUGACUGGGGUGAAGUCGUAACAAGGUAACCGUAGGGGAACCUGCGGUUGGAUCACCUCCUUAUU
rnacentral:rRNA from 1 species